CUGAAAACCAAGAAUUUUCCAAAGGCUACAGGGGAUAGGAUAACACUCAGUAGGGCUUUUGAAGAUGAAAUCCAGUUUAGGCCCUCCUGACAUCCCUGGUUUGAUUUCAACUUCGAUUAUGCAUGAGAACUUAUUGAGAGAUUGUAAGUUGCAAGAAGCCCUUGAUCUCCUGGGGAAGGUCUCAGCAGAAACAUCACUUCCUCGGGGAAGGCUUACAACCUGCUAAACCAGUCUGGGACCUUCUUAUUCCCACAAAGCCUAGAUAUUUUCUCCUUUGCAUCCUGAACCACAUUCUUCUUUUCCAGGGUCAGUUUUUGCCACUUGACUGAAGAGUCCAUGAGGUUAAGUUCCAUGAGCCUGGAACGCAACAGGUGUUCAAUCAGUGUUGAAUAAGUAUGAGAUGACAGUCAGGACAGGCGACAGGCGAAGUCAGUGGAUGCAGAGGACUGUCAAGCAGGACUGAGACGUCAGCAUUGUAAAAUGCUCCUGGGAGGUGAAAUCAGACCAGCAGGAAAAAGGAAACUAAAAUUAUCUACGGACUUUGUUGGUAAGGAAGCAUUUGUUAUGCCCAGCUUUAGAAGAGUAGCAAGUAAAAGAAGACUGCAUUCAUCUGAGAAACCAGAGUGGAGGAAGUCAAGAAGGCAACUGGACACAGAUUUUUAAGAACACACAGAUUAACAGCUAGAAAGAAUCAGGUGAAGGAGGCAGCAGAAAAAGGAAGAGGUUGAAAUAUACAAGAGAGAAACCAUCAGGAAGUAAAAAUGCAAGCCACACAUGGGAAAAAAAAAAAUAUUUGUAGCCUACAUAAACACCAAUAGGUUUAUAUCCAGAAUCCACA